rnacentral:rRNA from 1 species
AUUGAACGCUAGCGGCAUGCCUUACACAUGCAAGUCGAACGCGUGGCGGACGGGUGAGUAAUAUAUCGGAACGUGCCCAAUAGCGGGGGAUAACUACUGGAAAGAGUAGCUAAUACCGCAUACUAUUGGAUGUGCCGAUAUCGGAUUAGCUAGUUGGUGGGGUAACGGCUCACCAAGGCAACGAUCCGUAGCUGGUUUGAGAGGAUGACCAGCCAAACUGGAACUGAGACACGGCCCAGACUCCUACGGGAGGCAGCAGUGGGGAAGUUUGGACAAUGGGGGAAACCCUGAUGCAGCCAUCCCGCGUGUAUGAGAAGGCCUUCGGGUUGUAAAGUACUUUUGGCAGAGAGGCGGUAUCUGCAGAAUAAGCACCGGCUAACUACGUGCCAGCAGCCGCGGUAAUAC